CAUCUUGUGAGCAUCUGGGCCAAGUUCAGGGCUGGUGCUCUCGUUCAGAUAGAUUUAGCUGGUGGUGCAGAGAUCCGUGAGCUUGCUUUUACAGGACUUUAAUGAUAUAUAAAAGCAGCACGAGGUGCUCCUGACUGUGGAUUAAUUUGGAGAUGACUUUCUCUGUUGAAGAGUAGCAAGACUCUCGCGAGUUCUUAAAAAUGCACUUGUUUGGUAUGAGAAUGAAAAGCAGUGGCUGAAGAACCAAUCUUCAAUGGGCAAGCCUUCUCUGGGUCUUGCUCCGUCACCGAGUCUGGAGUGCAGUGGUAUGAUUAUGGCUUACUUGAACUUCUGGGCUCAAGCAAUCCUCCCACCUCAGCCUCCAGAAUAGCUGGGACUAUAAGUGUGGAUCAUCAACCCUGGCUAAUUUUUUGAUUUUUUAUAGAGACGAGGUCUCACCAUGUUGCCCAGACAAGUCUUUAACUCCUGGGCUCAAGCAAUCCUCCCACCUCAGCCUCCUAAAGUGCCGGGAUUACAGGCAUGAGCCACUGUGCCUGACUUCCAGAUUUGCAUCUUAAAGGGCUGUUCCAUUGAAUGUCUGUUCUAACACGUGCCAUUUGGGAUCCCUUGGAAUCUUCAUGUACAGAACUGGUUGCUGCCUCGUUGAGUCGGUGGGGACAGAAUAGCUCCUGGUUGACAGCAUGGGUUGUGCAGAAGGACGGAUCCUGCAGACAUCAAUAUCUGGCUUUGAGUGGCACAAAGAAAUAAAGGAAUGUGGAUUCAGACCUCACUGGGAUGCUUGGCAAUUCUAAUUCUACCCCAGACUGCAAAUGGACACACAACUGUUGUGACUUUUGUUGAAGAGGAGAAGGAUGGUGAAGGUCUCUUUAGUCAAUAAUCUCUUUGCUGAAAUUGCUUCGGGCAGCACAGAAGCUGGAUUCAGAAGCACACAGGUCUGGGGAUGCAGGCUUCGGCCAGCCUGAUGCAAGGAAAGACUGCCAUCUCGUGGUCAGCUCAAUCCUGGCACCUUGGUGAGGGACCAGGCUGCAGAAAACCAGGCUUGGGGAGGAAACGGUGCUGCAAACUGGAUUUCUGCCGGACAGUGUGGAUGCCCUUAGAAAACACCCAGAAAAGAGCUGAGUGCCCCCCAAGGCUGUUUCCCAUAUAAGGUUCAUGACCCCCAGUGAGGAUGAAACUGCCUGCAAGGUUUGUCUUCUCUCCUGUUCACUGGUUACUCAGCCAGGCUGAUUCAUGGGCUUCUCAAAGGAGCUUGUUUAUCAGAAGCUUGUCUAAGACACCACGUCUUCCAGAAAAUCUCACCUGAGUCACCAACAGAUUCCUCUAAGAGUCUGUAAGCCACUCCUGACCAGCAGGAAACCCCAACAGAGGCAAAGAAUAGGAAAUUAAAUAUUUCGUCAAGAAAAAAUGAGAGGCUGGGUGCGGUGGCUCAUGCCUAUAUCCCAGCACUUUAGGAGGCCUAAGCGGGCGGAUCAUUUGAGGUCAGGAGUUUGAGACCAGCCCGGCCAACAUGGUGAAACCCUGUCUCUACUAAAAAUACAAAAACAAUUAGCUGGGCAUGGUGGUGGGUGCUUGUAAUCCCAGCUACUGGGGGAGGCUGAGGCGGGAGAAUCGCUGAAACCCAGGAGACAGAAGUUGCUGUGAGCCGAGACCACACCACUGCACUCCAGCCUGGGUGAGAGUGAGACUGUCUCAAAAAAAAAAAAAAAAAAAAAAAAAAAGCAAGAAAGCUCCCAUUUAGAUCACUCGGACAAAAGAUUUCUUUUUGUGCCAAAAUGUUCCACUAGGCUUCCAGUUUUUACCACAUAACUUGACAGUCAUGCAAGACUUAAGUGUAUUUUCAGCUAUCCUUUCUCUUUCAUUUAUUUCUGUUUAAUAAGCUCUGUCCAUUGAUUCUAGUUAGUACAUUAUAUAUCUUUUUAAUCACUUACCUGCAG
rnacentral:lncRNA from 1 species